rnacentral:lncRNA from 1 species
GGGAGGCUGACUUCUCAGAUCUGAAAGGAGAGAUUGAUGCUGGGAGGGAGAAAAGCUUAAUGUUAAUAUUCAUCAGAGAUGAGCCCCCUGGCAUUGCAGCCUGAGACUUACCAGAAAAGGAUACGGCACACGCGUUGGUGGGCUUCGGAUCAAGCCUACCAUCUGAGAAGAUGGUAAGAUCAAUUUAAUUUACGUGUCUGGAAACUGAUUUUUUUCCCUCAACUGAUAAGUUAGUUGAAAAAGGAGAACGAAACAGUUCAACUACAGCUUGAUACCAAAUUACCCUCAUUAUAUUAAAAGAAUAAAAUGAUGACAUGAGAUCAUGUAGAUAAAAGAGAGGAUUAUUGUGACUACA